GACGAACGCUGGCGGCGUGCUUAACACAUGCAAGUCGAACGGAAAGGCCCUGCUCUUGCGGGUUGCUCGAGUGGCGAACGGGUGAGUAAAACGCGUGUAUCCUGUCCUUGACUUUGGGAUAACUCUAGGAAACUGGGGCUAAUACCGGAUAGGAGCUCUUGCUGCACGGUGGGGGAUGGAAAGAUUCGGCGGUUGGGGAUGGACUCGCGGGUUACCAGCUGGUUGGUGAGGUAGUGGCGUACCAGGGCUUUGACGGGUAGCCGGCCUGAGAGGUUGACCGGGCACAUGAGGACUGAGAUACGGCCCAGACUCCAACGGUAGGCAACAGUGGGAAGUAUUGCACAGUGAGCGGAAGCCAGAUACGGCGAUGCCGCGUGCGGGAUAACGUCCUUCGAGUUAUAAACCGCUUUCGCCUUAGACGUGGCGUGCGUGACGGUACUGAGUAAGGAAGCACCGGCUAACUACGUG
rnacentral:rRNA from 1 species